rnacentral:lncRNA from 1 species
AAUAAUCGUACUGUAAUGUCACAAGACUGUUUUGAAUUUUAGAAGAAUAACAAUUCAGGAAGAUUAUGAAAUAUUAAUUUGCAGGAAAGAAAUAUUUUAUUUACUGUAAUAAAAGAAACAGAAAGAUUAAAUUAAAAAUUUUCACUUUUAGAUUGUUGGAAAAUCUUUCUGAUCUUUUAUUAAAAUAUUCUUUAAAAAUAAUUCAAAAACUUAAUUUCAGUUUUAGAAAAAUUCUAAAAAAAUUAAAAAAUCUCGUCGGCAUGCUUUUAAGGUGGCGCAAGAUGAACCCAACAAGCUUUAAGAGAUCCAGCGAAAUAUUAGAAAGCUCAGCGAAAAUCAGCAAAAAAGAUCAAUGGCGAGAAAACAGAAGAAGGCGAGGGAGAGGAUAGGGUUUUGCUCUUAGGCACGCCCAGGUUCAAGUUAAACUCAUGCAACCUCGUCCAAUAUAUGUAUCCAAGGUAAGGAUCUUGUUUCAAUACGUCAUUUCUAUGUAGCGCAAGAUAAGUCUAAGAUUAUACGGAAUACGAAUUAGAAUUAGGAUAAAGAUAAAACCAAAAAUAAAAAUAAAUAAAAUAAACCGGGUGCAUAGACCGCACGCGCCGCCGCCCGCCCAGCCUGGCUUGUGCUCGUGCGUUUAGUCGAGAACAUAACUCUCAUUUUCUUCCAAACAACUAGCUUGAGAAUGAAGCAAUAUAUAAAUAACAACAAUACAUCCUUAGUUUUUACUGUGGGACUAAACCUUACAUAUGAAAACCUUAGUUGGGCUCUUAGGCAAGGCCCAUCAAGUAUUGAGUUGCCCAAGAGGCCUAAUAAGUUUUAAAUCACAAAAAACGCAAUAAAUUCUAAC